rnacentral:rRNA from 1 species
GACGAAGGUGGCGAGCGUUACUCGGAAUUACUAGGCGUAAAGCGUGGGCAGGUGGUCUGAUAAGUCUGUUGUGAAAGCUCCCGGCUUAACUGGGAGAGGCCAAUGGAUACUGUCGGACUUGAAUGUGGGAGAGGUGACUGGAAUUCCCGGUGUAGCGGUGAAAUGCGUAGAGAUCGGGAGGAACACCAAUGGCGAAAGCAGGUCACUGGACCACUAUUGACACUCAUCCACGAAAGCUGGGGGAUCAAACAGG